UGGGGAAUCUUGCACAAUGGGCGCAAGCCUGAUGCAGCGACGCCGCGUGGGGGAUGACGGCCUUCGGGUUGUAAACUCCUUUCGCUAGGGACGAAGCUUUUUGUGACGGUACCUAGAUAAGAAGCACCGGCUAACUACGUGCCAGCAGCCGCGGUAAUACGUAGGGUGCGAGCGUUGUCUGGAAUUACUGGGCGUAAAGGGCUCGUAGGUGGUUUGUCGCGUCGUCUGUGAAAUUCCGGGGCUUAACUCCGGGCGUGCAGGCGAUACGGGCAUAACUUGAGUACGGUAGGGGUAACUGGAAGUCCUGGUGGAGCGGUGAAAUGCGAAGAUAUCAGGAGGAACACCGAUGGCGAAGGCAGGUUACUGGGCAGUUACUGACGCUGAAGAGCGAAAGCAGGGGUAGCGAACAGG
rnacentral:rRNA from 1 species